UUUUCUUUGUGAUAAAUGAAAACUCUGAAGGACUUCCGAAAAAUCGAAAAACCCACGCGGCAGCCAUCUUCGAAGACAAAAUUGCAGCAGGUGGGCAACCGGGGAAUUCCAACGCUUAAAAGCUUCCGGUCUUCCUGCAGAACGGCAUAUACAGUGUUGUGACAGAUACAAUCGGAUCAAUACUUUCACACCUGAACCAGAAUCUACAAGCUCCUGAUUUGUAUACCUGAGAGCUACCUGUAUCCCCGAUUAUAACUACCUGCUGGGAAAUUGAUUACAACAACUCUCCUGUACUGCUAUCCAGAGCUGCCUAAACAGCCGCUAAAACAAGCCUAAACAGAUACAGAACAUCCUCAGCAGACAACAUGGAUGAUGAAGGUAACAUGAAGCGUCCUCAUGAGGAUGACUACCAGGAGGAUUAUGAUAACAAAAGGAGGCGUGGAGGGGAUGGUGGACAGAAGAUCGAACUCCGCUUCCUAUUGGCCAGCAAGAAUGCCGGAGCUAUCAUUGGGAAAGCUGGAAGUAACAUCAAACGACUGAGACAAGAUUACAAAGCCAGUGUCACAGUUCCCGAUAGUACCAGCCCCGAACGUGUGCUGACGAUCGGGGCCGACAUUGGCACUGCCCUCGAUUGUGCCCUCGAUAUCAUCCCGAAGCUAGAAGAUGUAAGUGAUGAGUACAAGAACUACAAGGAUGAGAACUUUGACUGCGAGAUGAGACUACUGGUACACCAGAGCCAGGCGGGCUGUAUCAUUGGACGUGCUGGAUUCAAGAUCAAGGAACUCCGAGAGAAAACGGGAGCUCAGAUCAAAGUUUACUCUCAGUGCUGUCCACAAUCGACAGAGCGUGUCGUGGCCAUAGGAGGCAAACCCAAGGUGGUCAUCGAUUGUGUCGACACCAUCCAUGAACUCCUCAAGACAGCUCCACCCAAGGGACCCAACCAGCCUUAUGACCCCAUGUACUGGGACGAGUUCCUGGUGGCCGAGUAUGGAGGCUACACAUCUGCCGAGGGUGGACGAGGCAAGGGAGGACCCAGAGGAGCACCACAAGCUUCCCGAGGCAUGGGAAUGGGCAUGGGCAUGAGGGGUGGCCGGCCUGGCAUGGGGAUGGGAAUGGGAGAUAUGGGUAUGGGAGGUCGUGGCGGUCGCGGUGGUGGCAUGAUGGGUGGCCGCGGCGGUAGAGGAGGCAUGGGUGGCAUGCGUGGCAACAUGGGAGGAAUGAGAGGCGGCGGCAUGGGAGGACCUAACAGAGGUGGCCGAGGAGGGUUCGGAGGCGGAAUGGGAAGUGGUGGAAUGGGAGGCAGCAUGAGUGGUGGCAAUAUGGGUGGCAACCAGAGCAACAUGGGCGGUGGCAUGGGAGGUAACAAGCAGGGAACGGACUACUCAACCAAUCAGAGAUUCGGAGGAGAUGGCGGAUAUGGAGAUAACUAUGGAGGUGACAAUAGUUACGACGAAGGUUACGACAACUCUGGCGGUGGCUACGGCGGCGGUAAUUCCAGCGGAAGCCAGGGAGGUGGAAACAUGGGACAGAACUUCACCCAGGAUAACACGGGAGGUAUGGGCCAGAUGUUUGGUGACAAUUGUAACAGCAGUCCGUCCUCGACACAAGUUACGAUCCCAAAAGAUGUAAGUUACGAUCCCAAAAGAUGUAAGUUACGAUCCCAAAAGAUUUGGCGGGAGCUAUCAUUGGGAAGGGAGGUUCACGUAUCCAAGAGAUCCGGCGCCAGUCUAACGCUCAGGUGGUGAUUGACGAGGCACUUCCGGGCUCCAGCGACCGCAUCAUCACAAUCACAGGCAGCGAAGAUCAGAUACAGAAUGCACAGUACCUUCUACAGAUGAGAGUGAAGGGCUUGGAGUCAUCAUUUCAUUGAGCGUAUAAGAUAACACAUGUAAAACGGUAUUCGGGAGGACAGUUUUAAAGGAAGAGGAGGAGGAGGAACAAAGUUUUCAUUGUGGAAUCAUCAUAGACAUUGUCAUGUGGUCAUUGUAGACAGAAGGUUAUCUUCAUCGUGUCAACUUCAUUUUCUUUUUUACAGUCGACAUCAUAAAGACUGCCUUGUUUUAUCGUUAAAAGAGGGGAGUUCUAUGUCUGUUUCGACUCCCAAGUUCAGUUGAAAAUUUGUCAUCGGUAAUCUUUUUUAUUCUAUCGAACAAAAACAUGUUCAGUUUGUAAAAUUAUCUUGUGAAGACAUGUUACGUUUGCGAGUUGAAUGUGUUUGCAUUGAUUAGAAAAGUAGAUGCUUUUAGAGGAAUUAAAAUCAAGUUUGAUAAUUUCAACAGAAAGUAAUAGAAAAUGUUUACACAAUAACGGAUGAAUUAUGUGCUAGGUGGUAAUCAGAAGAAAGUGUUCUCAUUUCCUUUGUACAGUCAUCGUGGUGGGAAACAUUUUCAUCGGGGUGUCAUGUUCAUAUUCUGUAACCAGAAAUCAUGUUGGGGAGGGAUAAUGCUGGGAGUUACAUAUUAAGUAGAGAUUUUCAUUGUUUUUCUGGAUUUCAUACAUGUACAUUUUUAUGAUAUGAAUGUAUUUUUAUUUUCACUUGUUUGUUAGGUCAUCUAGAUGAAGUUGUCUUCUCAUAUAUAUACUGAUGAUACCAUUAGAAAAUCAGACAACUGAUUUUUUGUCUCAUUACUUAUUGAAAGAUAUUUUAUACACUAAUCAAAAAUGAAGAAAAAAGAAAAUAUUGAAGAAAUUUACUUCUGGUACAAUAAUAUACAUGUAUUAUUGCUAAUCCCAUACUAUCUCAUACACUGUCUUAAUUUAAUUAGCUAAUCUACUCUAACAGCGUGACAUUCAAUGGUAUUUUAAAGUACAUAAUGUGUCAGUUCCCCGAAAUACCUAGUGAUUUCUAUGGGAAGACUGUGAUUUUUAUAGUAACAUUUAACAUGGCUGUUUGAGAUUUAGAUUGAGUAGAAUUUUGGAGAAAUAUGAAUAAAAUAUUGGUAUCUUA